GAAGUUAAGCUUAUUUCUAGUGUACUGCUUGCAGGAAAAUAAUAUUUUGUGUGCAUGCAUCACAUGUUCUGAAUUUUUAGCUUACACAACUAUCAUGUUCCAGAACCGUACUUGACACCAUCAUCUUUAAGCUCCUUGUAUGUGGCACAUGUCAAUAUGGACAUGUGUGCCAUGUCACUAUCCUUUUUAAGCGCCUUCCUAAAUCUAUUCCCUUUUCUUAAGUUUUGACUAAAAGAUACCUCGUUUCAACACUCAGGUCUUGGUAUCGAUUCCUAGUGGGGAUGGCUAACAGUGAAGUGUGAACUGACAGUGGAGUGUACUAAUAAGCUAAUAGGAAAAAAAAAUUAAAAUAAAUAAAUAAAUAAAUAAAGACUAACAGAUGAAAAAAUUAACCCAUGAUCUCAUCACCUGGAUACUUUGCCUGCGAUAAACAUGACCUGAACCAUCAUUUCAAGACGUGAAUUUGUCAGCAAGUAAACAGGAGAGCGGAUUACGUGAGACCCCGGCAUCACCCGAAAUGGUGCAGUCUUUACCAUGGGGCGCCCCACCUUGAUUUAUGUAUUAUGUACCCAUGCCAUCCAUCCAUUUUCCAGAUCAUUUUUAGGGCAAUAUUAUUCCAAAAAUGAAGCAAAUCCAGUUAUCAGGUGGACCAUAGCAUAAAGAAACAGUGGUGGUUGACCGUCCUACCAUUAAAAACUUCUCAGGGCAUAUGUUAAUGUUUAUGUAGUGUUUAUUUAUCAUCCAAUCUAUUGCUAAGGUCACA